rnacentral:rRNA from 1 species
AAUCAAUGCUGGCGGCGUGCCUAACACAUGCAAGUCGAACGAGAAAGGGGAGCAAUCCCUGAGUACAGUGGCGACCGGGUGAGUAACACGUGACUACCUACCCUUGAGUGGGGGAUAACCUCGGGAAACCGAGGCUAAUACCGCAUAAUAUCGAGAGAUCAAAGGAGCAAUCCGCUCUUGGAGGGGGUCGCGGCUGAUUAGCUAGUUGGUGAGGUAAUGGCUCACCAAGGCGAAGAUCGGUAUCCGGCCUGAGAGGGCGCACGGACACACUGGAACUGAAACACGGUCCAGACUCCUACGGGAGGCGGCAGUGGGGAAUAUUGCGCAAUGGGCGAAAGCCUGACGCAGCGACGCCGCGUGUGGGAUGACGGUCUUCGGAUUGUAAACCACUGUCGGGAGGGACGAAGUUCUGACGGUACCUCCAAAGGAAGCACCGGCUAACUCUGUGCCAGCCGCCGCUGUAAU